rnacentral:rRNA from 1 species
UACAGAGGGUGCGAGCGUUAAUCGGAAUUACUGGGCGUAAAGCGCAUGUAGGCGGCAACGCAAGUCGGGCGUGAAAUCCCACGGCUCAACCGUGGAAGUGCACUCGAAACUGCGUAGCUAGAGUCCUGGAGAGGAAGGUGGAAUGCGCAGAUAUCAGGAAGAACACCCGUGGCGAAGGCGGCUCUCUGGAACGCAACUGACGCUGAGACACGAAAGCGUGGGGAGCAAACAGG